rnacentral:rRNA from 1 species
UGGGGAAUAUUGCACAAUGGGGGAAACCCUGAUGCAGCGACGCCGCGUGAAGGAAGAAGUAUCUCGGUAUGUAAACUUCUAUCAGCAGGGAAGAAAAUGACGGUACCUGACUACGAAGCCCCGGCUAACUACGUGCCAGCAGCCGCGGUAAUACGUAGGGGGCAAGCGUUAUCCGGAUUUACUGGGUGUAAAGGGAGCGUAGACGGAAGAGCAAGUCUGAUGUGAAAGGCUGGGGCUUAACCCCAGGACUGCAUUGGAAACUGUUUUUCUAGAGUGCCGGAGAGGUAAGCGGAAUUCCUAGUGUAGCGGUGAAAUGCGUAGAUAUUAGGAGGAACACCAGUGGCGAAGGCGGCUUACUGGACGGUAACUGACGUUGAGGCUCGAAAGCGUGGGGAGCAAACAGG